UAGCUCAGUUGGUAGAGUGCUUGCCUUGCAUGCACAAGGCCCUGGGUUAGAUUCCCAG
rnacentral:tRNA from 1 species